UACGUAGGGUGCGAGCGUUAAUCGGAAUUACUGGGCGUAAAGUGUGCGCAGGUGGCUUCGCAAGUCGAGUGUGAAAUCCCCGGGCUUAACCUGGGAAUUGCGCUCGAAACUACGGAACUGGAGUGUGGCAGAGGAAGGUGGAAUUCCACGUGUAGCGGUGAAAUGCGUAGAGAUGUGGAGGAACCCCCAUUGCCAAGGCAGCCCUCUUGGGCCACACUGACACUCAUGCACGAAAGCGUGGGGAGCAAACAGG
rnacentral:rRNA from 1 species